rnacentral:rRNA from 1 species
GGACUCUAUUGAGGCCCCGUAAUCGGAAUGAGUACACUUUAAAUCCUUUAACAAGGAUCCAUUGGAGGGCAAGUCUGGUGCCAGCAGCCGCGGUAAUUCCAGCUCCAAUAGCGUAUAUUAAAGUUGUUGCGGUUAAAAAGCUCGUAGUUGGUUCUGCGUGCCGCGCUGUCGGUUCGCCGCCUGUCGGUGUAACUGGCAUGUCGCGGCAUGUCCUGUCGGUGGUGAACGGGGUCCCCGGUGCUGGCUAGGCUUUAUAGCCGAAGUUUGUGCCGUGUGUGUUCCCGUUUGCCGAUCUCUCCUACUCCGGUGCUCUUAAGUGAGUGUCGAGGUAGGCCGACACGUUCACUUUGAACAAAUUAGAGUGCUUAAAGCAGGCUGAAAUAUCUGCCUGAAUAGUGGUGCAUGGAAUGAUAAAACAGGACCUCAGUUCUAUUUUGUUGGUUUUAGGAAUAUGAGGUAAUGAUCAAUGUGGACUGGCGGGGGCAUUCGUAUUGCGACGUUAGAGGUGAAAUUCUUGGAUCGUCGCAAGACGCACUAGAGCGAAAGCAUUUGCCAAGUAUGUCUUAAUUGAUCAAGAACGAAAGUUAGAGGUUCGAAGGCGAUCAGAUACCGCCCUAGUUCUAACCAUAAACGAUGCCAGCCAGCGAUCCGCCGAUGUUCCUUUAAUGACUCGGCGGGGAGCUUCUACUCGGGAAACCAAAGCUUUUGGGUUCCGGGGGAAGUAUGGUUGCAAAGCUGAAACU